rnacentral:rRNA from 1 species
GAUCAUUAGCGAGUUA